rnacentral:rRNA from 1 species
AACGAACGCUGGCGGCAUGCCUAACACAUGCAAGUCGAACGAGACCUGCGGGUAUAGUGGCGCAGGGGUGCGUAACGCGUGGUAAUCUGCCGUUAGGUUCGGAAUAACUCAGAGAAAUUUGAGCUAAUACCGGAUGAUAUCUUCUGACCAAAGGGUUAUCGCCGUUGGAUGGGCAGGCGUUGGAUUAGCUAGUUGGUGGGGUAAAGGCCUAUCAAGGCGGGGAUCCAUAGCUGGUCUGAGAGGAUGAUCAGCGACACUGGCACUGGGACACGGCCCAGAAUCUUACGGGAGGCAGCAGUGGCGAAUAUUGGAAAAUGGGCGACAGCCUGAUCCACCUCUGCCGCGUGAGUGAUGUAGUCCUUAGGGUAGUAAAGCUCUUUUACCCGCGAUGAUAAUGACAGUACCGGGAGAAUAAGCUCCGGCUAACUACGUG